AUGAUGCGGGCGUGCUGGUUGGUGAGGCAGGACAAUCGGCACCAACGAAUCAAGCUUCCACAUCUGGAAGUGAUUGUGCUUGGGCGCAGCCCCGAGACCAAGAUCACAGACAAGAAAUGUUCCCGCCAACAAGUACAAUUGAAAGCAGAAUGUAAUAAAGGCUAUGUCAAGGUGAAGCAGGUCGGGGUCAAUCCCACCAGCAUUGACUCAGUCAUAAUUGGGAAGGACCAAGAAGUGAAGCUGCAGCCUGGCCAGGUUCUCCACAUGGUGAAUGAGCUUUAUCCAUAUAUUAUAGAGUUUGAGGAAGAGUCAACGAGCUCUGGUCCGAUGACACCCAGGAAGAGAAAGAGGUCAGGCAACAGGGAUUCUUUAGAAAGUAAUGCUGCUCCGGAGCCUGAGCCUGGGACUAGACUGGAGUCUGGGAUCCACUCUAGCCAAUGCUCUGUUUCCCCAAAGAAGAGCAAAGAUGAUGCAUCUACCAAGAAGGAAUCAUUGGGCCACUGGAGUCAAGGCUUGAAGGUUUCUAUGCAGGACCCAAAAAUGCAGGUUUACAAAGACGAGCAGGUGGUGGUGAUCAAGGAUAAAUACCCCAAGGCUCGGUACCACUGGCUGGUCUUACCGUGGGCGUCCAUUUCCAGUCUGAAGGUUGUGAGCAGGGAGCACCUUCAGCUGCUCAAACACAUGCACUCCGUGGGGGAGAAGGUGAUUGCAGACCAUGCUGGCGCCAGUGAGGUCCGUUUCCGACUGGGCUACCAUGCCAUUCCCAGCAUGAGCCAAGUACACCUUCACGUAAUCAGCCAGGAUUUUGAUUCUCCUUGUCUUAAAAAUAAAAAGCAUUGGAAUUCUUUCAAUACAGAAUACUUCCUAGAAUCACAAGCUGUGGUGGAGAUGAUACAGGAAUCUGGCAGAGUGACAGUCCGAGACGGGAUGCCUGAGCUCUUGAAACUGCCCCUCCGUUGUCACGAGUGCCAGCAGCUGCUGCCUUCCAUGCCUCAUCUGAAAGAGCAUCUCAAGAAGCACUGGUCGAAGUGAUUCUGUGGAGCGUGGUCUACUGCACAAACUGUGGCUGGCUAUCCAGAGCUGGGCACCUGUCCUGCAUUGUGGGUGGACCUUUCAUUUCUCGAAUUAAAAUGCACAGCUUUGGGGGCUGGAGAGAGAGUACAUCCUUGCAAGGCAAGUGAGGGCACUUGCCUUGCAUGUGGCGAACCUUGAUUCAACCCCUGACACCACAUAUGUUCUCCAGAGCAGCAUCAGGUUCUUUGCCUCAGUGUGUCAUGCAGCUUGACAGCCAGCCACGGAUAUGUUCCCAGACAGAGUGCUCCUGGAGUCUUAUG